GUGCUACUGUCAUCUCCAUGUCACCAAGGAAGAGACUGAAGUUCCAGCAAACAGUCCCACUUGUUCAUGGUCACACAAGUUUUGUCACCUCAUGUAGACUGAAGAAACAAAUCAAGGCAAGGCUAGCAAAACCAACUCUUAACUAGUAUGUUGAUUAGGAGUUGGCUGCUCAUCUAAGAUGUUGGCAGAAGACAUGAAACUCCUUGGUCAGAGACAAAGGGUUCUGUCAUUCACAGCACACUUACCUCAUAUUUGAAGUUGCUGCAUGGGCUUACAAAGACUAUGAAGAGGAGAUAACGCCAUCGACAUCCCUCUUUUCUUUGUCCAUCUCCCUUCUUAUAUCUGUAUUCUAUUUAUCUCUCCUUACUUGCCUCCAAGUCUCUGCUAUCUCUUACCACAACAUCUCUGUAGUGACUUCGCUUUUGCUGGUCUAUUUAUACUCAGAAGGUUUCGCUGACUACAUCCCUUCCAUCUGUUCUGGAUGAUUAAAUUUUUUCUCAUAU